rnacentral:rRNA from 1 species
UACGUAGGUGGCGAGCGUUAUCCGGAUUUACUGGGUGUAAAGGGCGAGUAGGCGGGAUAGCAAGUCAGAUGUGAAAUACCGGGGCUCAACUCCGGAGCUGCAUUUGAAACUGUUAUUCUUGAGUGGUGGAGAGGCAAGCGGAAUUCCCGGUGUAGCGGUGGAAUGCAUAGAUAUCGGGAGGAACACCAGUGGCGAAGGCGGCUUGCUGGACACUAACUGACGCUGAGGAGCGAAAGCGUGGGGAGCAAACAGG